AAGGAUUUAGCUUAAUUAAAGUGUUUGAUUUGCGUUCAGAAGAUGUAGGAUAAAUUCUUGCAGUCCUUA
rnacentral:tRNA from 1 species